UCUGGAGCUGGCCUUCUUUUGCCCCACACUGGUGGAAACUUCCAGAAAUCCUAGCCGGCAGGCUGAGGCCACAUGUCCUUGUUGUCUGUUGCUUAUGAAAUGGUUUUUCUCUUCCCCCCUUCCCCUUUUCCCUUUUGCUCCAGCACAUAGGGGUUUUUUUGUUGUUGUUGUUGUUUUGGUUUGGUUUGUUUUUAUUUGUAUCUCAUUAUGGAUGGUUGUGAGCCACUAUGUGGUUGCUGGGACUUGAACUCAUGACCUCCUGAAGAGCAGUCUUAACCGCUGUGCCAUCGUACCAGCCCGUGAAAUGGUCUUUGAGAUGCUGAGAUACCUGGGUUUAAGUGACCCUUCCUGUAGUCACAGUUGCCACUCCACCAGCUGUUCAGUUGCUAUGUAAAGCUCUGAUCCACACGGGUGAGUUCUCACAGCAUGCCUGUAGCCAAGGUAGGAUGGUCUUCGCUUUCCAUCUGGAGAAUCAGAGCCUUAGCAGGACUCAGACAUCUGCGCUACUCAAGCCUUCCUGAAUCCAUGUGCCGGAUUUCUCUCGCCUUGCUUUACUGCCAUACAUGUACUUGAACCAGUGCACAACCCCAGCACCUGAGCAGAGCAAUCCUGGGGAUCCGAGACAACCAGGAGAGCACAAGCUAUAGCCAGUCCUGGGCCUGCUAAGGUGGGGCACAGCCAGCCACAGGCACUCAGAAGUCUCUGCUUGUAGACUGUCCUUGCUGCCAGGGUCUCACCCUCCUCAGCCCUAAUGGCUGGGAAGUGUAGGGCAGAAGGGCUAUACUUCAGUUUCCAAAACUGACCCAUUUUCUUUUCACAGGCUUGUACACAGGCCUAAUAUUUAAAGCAGAUAUAGGCCAUUAAGCACCAUGUCUGAAAUAUCACUUAUUUUGCAAGCCAUGUUUCUAGCACUUAGUAUAGUAUUAUCGGCAAUAAGGAAGGGCAUGUGUGGCCUUGUGUUUGGAAUUGGGGGCCCAGGUGGCAACUGUAGGCUCCUGUCAGCCUUGGGGUCACUUUGCCUUCAUGCAUUGUGUCAUGGCAGCUCUCAAAUUAAGACAAUCCCCUGUUUGGACUAAGAUGAUCCUGGCUGUUUAGCUUCUUCAGGCCUGGAGAGGCCUGAAUACCUGUGGACAGUGGCCUGUGACUCACCAGGAGAGUCACCUGGGACACUCGGGUCUCUGGAAUAUUGAAGAUGUGGGAGCUCCUGAGGUGUGGACUCACAGGGCUCCCUCUCUGAAUUCAGUUCGACCAUUAGGAACACCUUGUUGCACCCUUUGGUCUGCACGCCCUUGAGGUCACUAGGCAUGCACACUCUCAAGGCCCGCAGUCUUUGUAAAACGGUGCUCAGACCCUGCUUGCCUCCCUAAAGAACCUCCAACCCUGCUUUGGAGUCUGUGCCUUCCGAUGCCUCUCUUCCCUUCUGAUUUUCUCUGGGUCCCUCCUGCUCAUACAUACAGUCUCCAUGCCCAGCCAUAUGCUAUUUAAGUCCCAACCUCCAUCCUCUGGUUGACUGCUUAAUUUUCUUUUGUUCUUGGCUUUGCGCCAAGGAAUUUUCGCUCCGAAUAAAAAUGGAGAAGAAAGACCCUCUCUCCUCACUUGAGAUUUUUUUUAAUACACAUACAGAGCCUCUUACUCACAGCUGCCCCUUCAUCAGAGACUGGCCUCGGCUUUGGGAGCGAGUUCUCCUUGGUUAUAAAAAGCCACCGUGUAUUUAUGACAGAAGACUGGAGAUAUGCAGAGGAUUAUCAGAAUGAAAAGAAAAGAAACCAUUAUCCUACCGCCCCAAGAGCCUCUGUUGCUACCUCAGGACCUAGGCUGCAGGGUGCUCAUGCAGGUGUGCAUGCAUGCAUGUGUGUCUUUCUUUUUCUACACAGCCUCCCAUCAGCAACUUUCCCACUGUUGCCUUAAACGGCUUUCAGAGGAACCGUUUGAACGCAUUUGUAGCGUUCUGUCUGGAGAUGCACUCAAUUGAAACCAUUCCACUGUUUAUGAGACCCAUAUGGUUUUGUUUUUUUUUGGGGGGGGGUUGUUUGUUUGGUUGGUUGGUUUUGGUUUUUUCGAGUCAGGGUUGCUCUGUGUAGCCCUGACUGUCCUGGCACUCACUCUGUAGACCAGGCUGGCCUUGAACUCAGAAAUCCACUCGCCUCUGCCUCCCGAGUGCUGGGAUUAAAGGCGUGCAUCACCAAUGCCCUGCCCAUAUGGUUUUCAUUCCAUGUGUUUGUGGUAAACGGUACCAGAGGAACUUCCCCAACAGCUGGCGAUGUGCUGUGCCGAGCAGUGGGAUGGUUGCAAAUCCAGGAGGUGGCCUGGUUUGCUGGGACAGUGGGUGAGCUAAUCGGCGGGCUGUCCCAGAAUGAUGUCUGGCCAGCAUGAGGUCAAUGCUUUUAUUUUACUAUUGCUGUUAUUUCUCCCUGGCAGUGGGAUUCUGAGUCAAAGGCCGUGCGCCUUACCUAACGGCUCUCCUCUAGGGUUGCACGGAGACCCGUUCCUUAGCUGGCCAUCCUCCAUAACACCUCAGAACCCAUAUGUAGUGUUACCCCCAUUCUCAAGGACUAUGGUGGCUUCAUAUGUAGUGUUACCCCCAUUCUUGAAGACUAUGGUGACUUUAUAAGACGCUGUAGAGAGAGCGCAGUGGGAUCAGGGUUCCUGCAUUCAGUUUCCCAGCAUGGCAUCUUACACCCCCCCCCCCACACACACACACACUAACACACCCUAGGCGCCAAGAGUGUCAUGGUUCACGUAGGGGAUUUGGGCUCUCCUCAUUCCUGGACCCGAUUUGUUCCAUACAUAUCACCUCCUGUGCCAGGUUCACUUCUCAGCCACUAUAACACCCGUCACCUCAGGGCAUCCCUAGCCUAGAACCCACUGCUUGCUGCCCUCACCCCACCCAUUCCCAUCCAAGUACAGAACAAAUGUCUGCUCCCCUUGAGAUAGGCACUGAUGACUGGCUGAAGGACCGAUUCCAUCCAAGUCCAGCCUCACAUGGCAUAGUGUGGGUGACCCCAAAGCAGUCAUAUGACGGAAAGUCUCACCCAGCAUGGAUGACAACUUCCCCAUAGCUGCUUGGCAGAGCCCCCACCUCAGUUAACCCUCUACCUCCUGUGUACUCUAGCCCCCGUUUACAGCAGGCCCAGCUACAGCACAGGAAGGGGCAAGCUCACCACUGAGGGUCUAAUGACCUUCCUGGCUUUCUAUAAGUCUUUUUUUUUUAAUGAUACUUGAGGUUGGCCUCUGACUUUUUUUUUUUUUUGAAAAAAGGAUUUAUUUAUCUUAUUUUAUGUAUAUGAGUAUACUGUGAGCCUUCAUGUGGUUGUUGGGAAUUGAAUUUUUAGGACCUCUGCUUGCUCCAGUCAACCCCACUCCCUCAUUGGCCCCGCUUGCUCCUGUCAACCCUGCUCAAUUUGGUCGGCCCUGCUGGCUUCAGCCCAAAGAUUUAUUUAUUAUUAUACAUAAGUACACUGUAGCUGUCUUCAGAUGCACCAGAAAAGGGUGUCAGAUCUCAUUAGGGGUAGUUGUGACCACCAUAGGGUUGCUGGGAUUUGAACUCAGGACCUCUGGAAGAACAGUCAGUGCUCUUAACCGCUAAGCCAUCUCUCCAGACCUCUAUAAGAGUCUUAAUAGGCUAGAUCUAAAAGGUUCCUUGUGAUUACAGCUGCCCUGAUUUAAAGGCCCUAAGGCCAUGACAGUCUUGGAGAACAAUGUUCUACAGGACAGGGUGUAGGGAUAACAUAUGACAGUUGCCCCAGAAAGCACUGGGUUGUUCCCACCAGGAGACCUGCCCUUUACUUUUGUUACCAAUUCAAUUGUCAUUAGUAUUUGCUUUGAUCCCUUGGGGCCAGUAUGGUUGACUUCUGACCCCAUUACCUCCCAAUGCUAGCUUGACACAGAGGCUCAAUGAACACCACCAUCAAGUUAAGAGAACAAACGGGUAAGACUGUUCAAAUGAUCUGAGAUUCGAGGGUCUGUGGGUAGGGGUGGGGCUGAGGUAGAGGACCGUGGGAAUCGAGCAGCAGGAGAAAUGGCCACUGUAGGGUCCUAGCACCCUGAGCUGUCGUCCUCCACAGUAGCUGUGAAGCUGCUGAGGGGGUUGGGGCAGAGACUGCAGAGCUCCUAGCAAGAGGGGUUUACUGGAGAUUUGUUACUCUGAGUUCAAAGAGACUUGGUGAAACAUUGUUGUUAAGGCAAUUGACUGAAAAACUCUACCAUCAGGGCUCCGGUAACUAUGAGGCAUGAAAAGCUGUAUGUUUUCCAGCAGCUAACUCCUCAGUGGGACCUGCCCAGCAUGGAUUUGG
rnacentral:lncRNA from 1 species